GUUCCUGUAGUUUAAUGCAACGGUGGUUUUUCAAGCCAUUGGUCCUGGUGAAAACCCGGGCGGGAACC
rnacentral:tRNA from 1 species